GACGAACGCUGGCGGCGUGCCUAAUACAUGCAAGUAGGACGCGGUUGCGAACGGGUGAGUAACGCGUAGGUAACUGCCUAUCUGAGGGGGAGCACUACUGGAAACGAUAGCUAAUACCGCAUACUAGUAGAUGGACGUGCGUUGGAUUAGCUAGUAGGUCGGGUAAUGGCCUACCUAGGCAACGAUACAUCGCCGACCUGAGAAGGUGGUAGGGCACACUGGGACGGGGACACGGGCCAGACUCCUACGGGAGGCAGGCGGAGGGAAUCGUCGGCAAUGGGGGGCACCCUGACCGAGCACCGCCGCGUGAGGGGAGAAGGGGUUCGGAGCGUAAAGCUCUGUUGGUAAGGAAGCGGUACUUAACCAGAAAGGGCCGGCUAACUACGUGCCAGCCGCCGCGGUAAUAC
rnacentral:rRNA from 1 species